GAUGAACGCUGGCGGCGUGCCUAAUACAUGCAAGUCGAGCGAACUGAUUAGAAGCUUGCUUCUAUGACGUUAGCGGCGGACGGGUGAGUAACACGUGGGCAACCUGCCUGUAAGACUGGGAUAACUUCGGGAAACCGAAGCUAAUACCGGAUAGGAUCUUCUCCUUCAUGGGAGAUGAUUGAAAGAUGGUUUCGGCUAUCACUUACAGAUGGGCCCGCGGUGCAUUAGCUAGUUGGUGAGGUAACGGCUCACCAAGGCAACGAUGCAUAGCCGACCUGAGAGGGGGAUCGGCCACACUGGGACUGCGACACGGCCCAGACUCCUACGGGAGGCAGCAGUAGGGAAUCUUCCGCAAUGGACGAAAGUCUGACGGAGCAACGCCGCGUGAGUGAUGAAGGCUUUCGGGUCGUAAAACUCUGUUGUUAGGGAAGAACAAGUACAAGAGUAACUGCUUGUACCUUGACGGUACCUAACUAGAAAGCCACGGCUAACUACGUGCCAGCCGCCGCCGUAAGAC
rnacentral:rRNA from 1 species